rnacentral:rRNA from 1 species
UGUGUAGGCGGAACAUUAAGUCAGUGGUGAAAUCUUUCAGCUUAACUGGAAAACUGCCAUUGAUACUGCUGUUCUUGAGUUCAGUUGAGGUGGGCGGAAUGUGUAAUGUAGCGGUGAAAUGCUUAGAUAUUACACAGAACACCGAUUGCGAAGGCAGCUCACUAAACUGUUACUGACGCUGAGGCACGAAAGCGUGGGGAGCGAACAGGAUUAGAUACCCUGGUAGUCC